rnacentral:lncRNA from 1 species
UCUUUCCCCUACCGUGGGAAGUUCAUCCCACUUUCCACCGCAGAAGCAGCCGUAUUUCGACCGUUGUUACCUCUCCCUCGAUAUUGGAGAAAAUCUCCCUACCAUAAUUUGAUGGAUGAAUACCAGAUGGCUUCUUCAAUGCUCGAGUUGUUGCCUCCCCUUCUUCUGGGCCGCCUAUCGCUCCUCCCACCUCAAAACCUUCAAUUUUUCAACUCCAUUUUCUCCAGAAACCCCGAAGUAUUCACGAAACCAUGUAGAAAUAAGCAGCCUUCUCUCCACUUGUGGAAGAGAAGGCAAUCUGCGUCUGGGUUCUUCUCUCCAUGCCUCCAUUAUAAAAAAUCCGGAAGUUUAUAACCUCGAAAAUGAUCGUAUUGUGCGGAAUUCUCUUGUAAUUUGGAACUCUUUGCUCUCCAUGUAUUCACAGUGCGGUCAAUUGUCGGAUGCGGUCAGGAUGUUUGAUGAGAUGCCUGUUAGAGAUACUAUUUCUUGUAAUUCAAUUAUUUCCGGGUUUUUGAGAAAUGGGAAGUUUGAGAUGGGAUUUGGGUAUUUUAAAGAAAUGAUACGUUCGGAGUUUCGUCGGUUUGAUCGUGCCAGUUUGACUACGGUUUUGUCAGCUUGUGAUGGACUUGAGUUUCUUGGAGUUACUAGGAUGCUGCAUGGAUUGGUGGUUUUGAGUGGUUUUGGGAGGGAAGUUACAGUUGGGAAUGCUCUGAUGACAUCGUAUUUUAGGUGUGGGUGUUCUAAUUUGGGGAAACGGGUUUUUGAUGAGAUGGUGGAGAGGAAUGUCAUCUCCUGGACAGCAGUGAUAUCCGGCCUUGUCCAAAAUGAGUUUUAUGAGGAAAGUUUGGACUUGUUUGUGGAAAUGUACCAUGGAUCAGUAGCUCCGAACUAUUUGACGUAUCUGAGUGCGUUAUCUGCUUGUGCUGGCUUACAGGCUCUGAAAGAGGGUUGUCAGAUUCAUGGGGUUGUUUGGAAAUUGGGGAUUCAAUCAGACUUUUGUGUCGAAAGUGUGUUGAUGGAUAUGUACUCAAAAUGCGGUU